UGGGGAAUAUUGCACAAUGGAGGGAACUCUGAUGCAGCGACGCCGCGUGAACGAAGAAGCCUUUCGAGUCGUCAAGUUCUUUUAUAUGGGCAGAUAAUGACGGUACCAUAAGAAGAAGCCCCGGCUAACUACGUGCCAGCAGCCGCGGUAAUACGUAGGGGGCUAGCGUUGUCCGGAAUCACUGGGCGUAAAUGUUUCGCAGGCUGAAAUGCAAGUCAAGUGUAAAAGGCAGUAGCUUAACUACUGUAAGCAUUUGAAACUGCAUAUCUUGAGAAGAGUAGAGGUAAGUGGAAUUUUUAGUGUAGCUGUGAAAUGCGUAGAUAUUAAAGAGAGUACCGGUGGCGAAGGCGAAUUACUGGGCUUAUACUGACGCUGAAGAACGAAAGCGUAGGUAGCAAACAGA
rnacentral:rRNA from 1 species